rnacentral:lncRNA from 10 species
GUCCAGGAACCCUCAUAUAUAUAUAUAACCUCAGUAUAUGAAUGCUCCCGAAGGGAAGGCAGGCCCUUCCAGGUUCCCGUACUUUCUUAUGGAGCUGCUCAGUGACCGGCUUAGAGGACCGGGAAUGGGUAAUUGGAGGCUGGAGCCGCUCCACUGUGGUUCGCCUCGCUGCAACUGGUGGUGACCGCGACCGAGAUGGCAGUGCGGCGGGAGCGGACUCGUCACUGUGUCCCCCACUCCAUGAAACUGGGCCUGCUGUCCUGUUAGGAUGCUGUAAGCCCCCGGGCCUGGGCUGUCCUUUCUGACACACUGUCCCAUUCCUUGGCCUGGUUCAUCCCCAGCUUCCUGGCAAAGUUCUGCUCCCUGAAGCAGGAAGAGGCUGAGAUUAAUGCCAACGAAGUGGGGCCGUGGGCCUGGGAAGACUGUGUGGCUGGCUGAGGGUGGGCAGUAAGCUGGCCACCCCACCCCCGACAUGGACAUGGCUGUGCUAUGGCGGAAGGGGUGGUGUGGGCAUGGCCACAGCACUCGAGACAGCCCUCCGAGGAGGAGGGCGAGCCUGGCUGGACCCCCUGUCUGCGGUGCUGUGUCAGGGCAGGAGAGGACAGCCUCUUGCCCCCAGGAGUGUGCAGUGUGGGCAAGAGACA